AUCCAGCUGACGAGUCCCAAAUAGGACGAAACGCGCGUCCCGGAU
rfam:Schistosoma mansoni strain Puerto Rico chromosome 3, complete genome